GUAUUGUUUGCCAUUUUCUUAAAUGACUUGGUCGAAUUUAUGUCACAUUCAUAUAAUGGUUUAGUUGAUAUGAGUAUUGCAGCACGUCUUCUUGAUACUGAUGAAGUCGCUAUAUAUUUUCGUUUAUAUUUGUUAUUGUAUGCAGAUGAUAUUGUAAUUUUAGCCGAUCGUCAGCAGAGUUACAAGCCUCAUUAAAUACCAUGUAUUUAUAUUGUCAAACCUGGAAAAUGCAAGUUAACAUAUCCAAG
rnacentral:lncRNA from 1 species